AUCGCUUCUCGGCCUUUUGGCUAAGAUCAAGUGUAGUAUCUGUUCUUAUCAGUUUAAUAUCUGAUACGUCCUCUAUCCGAGGACAAUAUAUUAAGUGGAUUUUUGGGGCAGGGAGUUGGAAUAGGAGCUUGCUCCGUCCACUCCACGCAUCGACCUGGUAUUGCAGUACCUCCAGGAACGGUGCACCCCCU
rnacentral:snRNA from 1 species